rnacentral:rRNA from 1 species
UACGUAGGGACCGAGCGUUGUCCGGAAUCAUUGGGCGUAAAGAGCGUGUAGGCGGCUAUUUAAGUCCUGCGUGAAAUCCUGCGGCUCAACCGCAGACGGUCGUGGGAAACUGGAUGGCUAGAGUGCGGGAGAGGAGAGUGGAAUUCCCGGUGUAGCGGUGAAAUGCGCAGAUAUCGGGAAGAACACCCGUGGCGAAGGCGGCAUCCUGGACCGACACUGACGCUGAGGAGCGAAAGCCAGGGGAGCAAACGGG